rnacentral:rRNA from 1 species
GCGGGAAGAGCUCAAAUUUGAAAGCUGGCGUCUUCGGCGUCCGCGUUGUAAUCUCGAGAAGUGUUUUCCGUGCUGGACCAUGUACAAGUUCCUUGGAAUAGGACGUCAUAGAGGGUGAAAAUCCCGUACUUGAUGUGGCCGCGCAGUGCUUUGUGAUACACUUUCCAUGAGUCGAGUUGUUUGGGAAUGCAGCUCAAAAUGGGUGGUAAAUUCCAUCUAAGGCUAAAUAUUGGGGAGAGACCGAUAGCGAACAAGUACAGUGAUGGAAAGAUGAAAAGAACUUUGAAAAGAGAGUUAAACAGUACGUGAAAUUGCCAAAAGGGAAGGGUAGGAGGUCAGAGAUGCGUCUUGGGAUUCAGCCUUGCUUUUGCUUGGUGUUUUUCCCAAGUUUGCAGGCCAACGUCGGUUUUGGGCACUGGAGAAGGGUAGGAGGAACGUGGCACCUCUCGGGGUGUGUUAUAGCCUCCUACUGGAUACAGCGACCGAGACCGAGGAACGCAGCGUACUCGUAAGAGCGGGCCUUUUGGCACCUUUACGCUUAGGGCGUUGGCAUAAUGGCCCUCUACCACCCGUCUUGAA